rnacentral:rRNA from 1 species
AGUCACUGACAUUAGGAUACCCGGGUAGUCCAGGGUGUAAACGCUGCAGACUUGGUGUUGGAGGCCCUUUGGGGGCAUUCAGUGCCGGAGAGAAGUUGUUAAGUCUGCUACUUGGGAGUACGUCCGCAAGGAUGAAACUUAAAGGAAUUGGCGGGGGAGCACCGCAACGGGAGGAGCGUGCGGUUUAAUUGGAUUCAACACCGUAAAACUCACCAGGGAAGACUGUUACAUGAAGGCCGAGAUGAAGACUCUGCUAGAUUUUCAG